rnacentral:rRNA from 1 species
GUCCACGCCGUAACUAUGAUUACUCGUUCAGCGAUAUACUGUUGGAGACUAAGCGAAGUGAUAAGUAAUCCACCUGGGAGUACGAUCGCAAGGUUGAACUCAAGGAAUUGACGGGCCCGCACAAGCGGUGGAGCAUGUGGUUAAUUCGAUGAUACGCGAGGAACCUUACCAGGGCUUAAAUGCAGAACGCAUGAAGUGGAAACAUUUCAGUCUUCGGACGGUCUGCAAGGUGCUGCAUGGCUGUCGU